CGGACAAAACACACACAAUUAUGUCAAAAUAUGCGGUUACCUCGUAAACGUAGUCUUAAAUGAGUUAUAAAGUCUUAAAUGACCGUAAAGAGUUUGGAGAAGAUAUGUGUCAGAUCCAUGUCAUGUGCAUCAUUUUAAAGACACAGCGCUGCUUUUAAAGUAAAACCUGCUGAAGUCUGUCAGUGAUGUAACUCAAAGAACAAAAGAAAAAGAGAAAUCACUCGACUGCUCUAGUCGCUGAUUAAUAAAGAUUAAUCUGUAUAGUUUAUGCAUACAAUUUAGAGUUUAUUUGAAGAUUGUUUUAAAAGCACUUAAAAAUAAUGGCAUUCAAUUAUACUGUAAUGUUGAAUGGCUAUAAUUAAUAGGGAAAAUUGAGGGAAAAUGCAUUUAAUAGAGACACCAGUAGCAGUAUUGGUAUCAUAAUAGGCUACUUAGCAAAAAGAUGCCAUUGAAAACAUAUUUAAAAUAUACUAUCUUUAUGUUGUUUCUACAUUAAUUUGGAUGUUCAAUGUGAAAUUAUGACAAGAUAAAUAUGUGAUUAAUCAUGAUUAAUUACAAACAAAAUGACAGAAUGUAUUGAAAGUAUUGUGUAUUAAAGAAUGACAGAAAGUAUUAAUGUUAACCUUUUAUAAAUUUUAGAUUUCAAUUUAAUUUCUAAUUUUAUAGGUCCCCCCCCAGAAAGAGAUCGGGACAGCCCCCUUCAAAUUUUCAGUUCGAUAAUCCAGCCCUCAAAUGAAGCUAACUAAAUAGCCCUGCUCUAAUCUGUUAGCAUGGGUGUGGAAAAAAUACGCACCACAUACGCACUGCAAACUGAGUAGCCUAUGUGUAAAACAUGCGUAACACGAUGGCCUGCUCCGUUUGCCGAAAACAUGUAAAGGACAAGAAUCUCAACGUUUUUUAGGCACAAAAAAAAAGAAGAAGAUAAAUCUGUUUGUUGGUUUUUUUUUUUCUUCUAAGUAUAGUACAGGUCAAAUUAAAAACAUUGUAAAUAUGUUUAUUCAUUGUAGUAGUAAUGACUGCCUGUUUUUGCAAAAAGAGUUUCAUGGCCGGUAAAAAAAAUUUUUGGCCAGUAAAUUUGAUCACGUCACCGGCCAUUGGCAGGUGUGACAAAAAGUUAGUUUUAGGCCCCGCUCAUAAUUCUGCUUUGCUGAAAAAAAAAAACAGAAUUGAGUUUGACACAAUAGUUUGUAAUAGUAACCUUUAUGUAAAAGUAGCCUUCAUUAAAGCUCUAGCCUAGAAACACAAUCUAGUUCACUUCGUCCCACGUGCUGAACACAGAAAUAUAAACAUGAUGUUUGAAUGCUUGUGCAGCCGCAUCUCUCUUGUUUCAGAAACUAACUGGUUGAAAAGACUAGAGGUCGAGUUGAUUGGUGGAACUAUCGGUUAUCGGCAAAAAUCCAUGCCGACAGUUUUCCGGGAUACAUCCAUUGCUGUAGCAGCUGAGAAGGGUCGAGUGCCGUUAUACAGUACGAGAACGGCCUCUAGAGUUAGAAAUGUCUGACAGCACGUGUUGUUUGUUUUGACACGUGACACUGCGCGCUGCACAGAGCGGGAAACUUCAAACGUGCAUUUAAAUGUAGCUGACAGAAAAUCCUGCCGUGGAACAGAAUGCCAUCCACAUAGUUUUCCAUUCAUUUACAUUAUAUUUGUCCCAAAUCGUUGUUAAUGUACAUAAUACCUUCACCUUAGUCUAUAAAUUAUGUAUUGUGCAUUUUUCAGCAAAACGUUUGUCUUUCUGUGGCUCUAAUAAAGUCUGUAUGCUUCAUAUAGAUAGUUGUAAUAUAGAUUGCGCUUUCUUUUUCCGUUUGCUCUGGGGUUUUUUUGUUUUUUUAAACACCGAACUUCAAACUCAUUUAUGUCACAUUGUUCAUUCUUGAAGCAAACUUAAGUCCGUUUGGUGAUUAAAUAAACAGUUUUAGAUCACUGCUUGAAUUGAACGUGACACGUCUGGUGUUUGUGACACCUGAUAUUGUGAGUUCUCCUAGACCAGUGGUUCCCAAAGUAGGAUCGCGACCCCCUGGGGGGUCGUGAGACAGUGUGGGGGGGGUCGUGCUAUGAUUUCCAGAAAUCAAAAAAAAAAAUGCAACUAUUACAAAUAACAUUUUAUCCAUAACUAACAAAAGAUAAAAAAUAGUAGUUAAUAUUUACAUUAAAAAACAUGCAAAUAAAAAAGCCAUCAGCCUUUCGAUUUUCUUUCUGUUCGAUCGCGACCCCUGAGGUGAUUACGACAGAUUAACGACACAGCAAUAGCGUCAGUUGCAGCAGAUCAAUUUACAGCACCACGUUAAACAUUCUGAUAUGUGCACGUAGAUAAUUUUUUUCGCUUUAGGCUUAGGAUAUUAUUUUUGUUGAAAUGAAACGUUGGUUAAUAUCAACCAAUGACAAAGCAGGGAGACCAGCAGAGAGGCCAGCGGAGGAACGCGGAGAAGCACCACCGUCAGAAAGGCCAUCAACGUCAGGUACGGAAAGAGACCGGCGUUUGCAUAAAGAGGACAUCCAUAAGCAGUCGGAUCAGCCUUACUCAAAAUGUCGAAAGUAUCGAGAGGAAUUUAUCCAGUAUGGAUUCACAUGCGUCAUCGUCAGCAGUACAACAUCCCCAAUGUGUUGUGUGCACUGAGGUGCUUGCACAUGAAAGCCUAAAGCCUGUAAAAAUGCUACGACACUUGAAAACCAAGCACCCCUCUCUUGCUGCUAAACCAAUAGAUUUUUUCCGGCGAAAGGAGCGAGAGUUACAAGGCCAAAAGAAAGUCCUAACUAAACAAACAACAAUCCCCGCCAAAGCUCAACAGGCAUCAUAUGAGGUGGCAUAUUUAAUUGCACAGGCAAAAAAGCCACAUACGAUCGGGAAACCCUCAUUAAACCCGCUGCUAUAGCUAUAAGUCGGGCUAUGCAUGGGGAUAAACUGGCCCGUGAGCUACAAUCAGUGCCGCUGUCUAACGGAACUGUUGCCCGGCGCAUCUCCGACAUGGCCCAGGACAUAAAGUGUCAGCUGGUGGACAGAGUGAAGAAAGGGAAAUAUGCUUUACAGUUAGACGAAUCCACAGAUGUAUCAAAUUCUGCCCAGCUGCUUGUAUUCGUCAGAUACAGUUUUGACAGAAAACUUAACGAGGACAUUCUGUUUUGCACGCCACUGGAGGGAACGUGCACAGGCGAGGACAUUUUCACAAAACUUGACAACAAACUAAAAGAAGAUGGACUGUCUUGGAGCAAGUGCAUCGGUGUGUGUACAGAUGGUGCUGGAGCGAUGCUGGGGAAAAAGAAAGGUCUUAAAGCAAGAGUCUUAAAAGUGGCGCCUCACGUAAAAUUCACGCAUUGUAUUAUACACAGAGAAGCUCUUGCGAGCAAAACACUUGACCCAGAACUUAAACGUGUUCUUGAGACUUCGAUAAAAAUGGUCAACUAUAUAAAAGCGCGUCCACUCAAUAUCAGACUGUUUGCCACUCUCUGUAACGAACUGGGAUCGGAGCAUGAGUGCUUGCUGUUCCAUACAGAAGUCAGGUGGCUUUCGCGAGGAAAUGUGCUCAGCCACCUGUUUGAGCUGCGGGACGAAGUGCGCUUAUUUCUUAUGGACCAUGGGUCCCAGCUCGCUGACCACCUCAGUGAUCCUGACUGGCUAACAAGGCUAGCGUAUUUGGCUUGCAUAUUUGAAAAACUGAAUGGACUUAAUAUGUCAUUGCAAGGUGAAAACACAAAUAUCAUGUCGCUGAAUGACAAAAUCCACGCAUUCAAGAGAAAACUUGAGCGCUGGACUGAGCGAGUUGAAAUGGGUAGGAUUGAUAUGUUUUCUGAGCUGGACGAAUUCAUGGAGGAAAACGAACUGAGUGUUAACAUAGUGAAGAAGUCUAUCACUACCCACCUUCAAGCUCUCCUGGAACACUUUAACAGGUAUUUCCCAGAGGAAACAGCUCCAGAACAAUACGACUGGAUAAGAUCACCAUUCACUGUAACGAGGGCAAAUCAUCUGACAUCUGACCUGGAGGACGCAUUGGUUGAACUGUCAAGCGACCGAACCUUGAAGACAGUGUUUAAUUCCAAGACGCUGGCUGAGUUUUGGAUUUCAGUCGAGAGGAAAUACCAACAGCUAUCCAAGGCUGCUAUGGAUGUACUGAUGCCGUUUUGCACUACCUACUUGUGCGAAAAGACUUUUUCGACACUCACGUACAUUAAAAAUAAAUACAGGUCGCGACUGAACGUGGAGGAUGAUCUCCGAGUGGCGGUCUCCAAAAUUAAACCAAGAGUGGACUUGCUGUGCUCCAAGCAUUGUGCCCACCCAUCUCAUUAGGCUAUGCGCAUGUUUGGAUAGGCCUAUUGGUGCAUGUGCGCCGUUGCACGCAACGUUUGUAUAUUUUAUCCACCUCCGAGGAUAGUGGGGGUCGCGAGUCACUGGCACCGUUAUUUUGGGGGUCGUGGGCUGAAAAGUUUGGGAACCCCUGUCCUAGACGCAGCGCUGCGCUUUUAAACAAGUUUCCAGUCUCUCACAGCACCUCCUGAAACUACAGACAUAAAUGACGAUCCCUUCAUCUCUCUCUUCUCUUCUGAUGAUCUGAGAGAAUCUGUCCAUCAGCUGACAGACAAACUGAAGGAUUUCUGCAAAGAGAAG